GAUUGCAGGCUGNAACCCGCCUGCAUGAAGCCGGAAUCGCUAGUAAUCGCAGAUCAGAAUGCUGCGGUGAAUACGCUCCCGGGUCUUGUACACACCGCCCGUCACACCAUGGGAGUCGAUAACGCCCGAAGUCAGUGACCCAACCGAGAGGAGGGAGCUGCCGAAGGCGGGAUGGAUAACUGGGGUGAAGUCGUAACAAGGUAAC
rnacentral:rRNA from 1 species